UAUCAUUUCUACUCUAACAGCUUUAAAAUAAACUAAUAGGAAAGCUUGGCAAUUAGAAAAGAAGGCUGACAACUUGGGUGUGUAGUAAUAUAAUACAACAGUUACACUGAGACACUCUGAUAACCACAAUGGCGAUGUUAUGUCUGCGAAUCUUCAUAAAUAAUCUUUUUCAUUUUAUCAAAGCUCUUUGGUCAACAGUGGAGACAGCAAACCAAGGCCUCCUGAGCUGAUAUGACCUCCAGAGAAGUAAGAGACGAAGGUGUGAAAGUCAAGUGUUUGACACACGCCUCUUCUUUUUGGCACGUUUUAGUUUCGGUUUUGGUUUUGCAUGUAUGAGAAAUAUACAGAGGAAUAUGAGCAACGCUGCAAAAGAAAGCCAACAUAGGAAUGUAUAACACAAUAGAUUACCCAUCCUGGACCUAAAAACACAAACAUUUUAUUAACAAUGAAGGCAUUUCCUCACCUUGGUGAAAAAUACAGUGAGUGCUUGAUGUGAAAAAGUUAAACAGUUGUUUUCUACCUGCUGACAAACUGAUCAGUCUCAUUGAAAGGUCCAGAUGUGUUUCCAGCUCCACCGUGGAUUGUCACUGUGGCUUGGCAGGUGAAGGGAGUUGUGGGUUAAGUUGUGGUGAUAAUUCUGUCAGCACAGUCAUAAACAGGUUGGCCUGAUGAAUCAAAAGAAAGACAUUUAUAUGGCAGCCCUUCUUGGAUGUUGAUCAGGUGCAAUAAAAGUUUCCCAACAGCCUUUAGUCAGACCCCGUCAGUGGAGUUUAAAGAGCAAGUGUUAUUAAAAAUCUAUAUUCAAACCUGACACACAAUGCAUUUCAAUACAUUUGAUCAUAUUUCAGUUUUAUUAGUUUUUUGCAUUGGAUGCCUGUUACAGUGUAGGUAAGAGCAAUGUCAGUAAGACUGUGACAGAACUUGCUCAAAGGUAUGAAGAUAGAACAGUAUAUUUAUAGAUAAAAUAUCACAGAGCGCUGUUAAUGAAAUAAGAGCAAUUAGAUAAACAUAAACAGUACAAACGUAUGUAUACGUACAUAUACAUACACAAAUACAUAUACACUACAGGUGAGUACGGAAAUAAGUGUAGAUAGAAAAGAUAAGUAGAAGAGACAAACAAAACCCUGUUAAUUAAAAGCUUAAGGAAUAUAUGAUGGUUAUUUUAAAAAAAAAGCUGUUUCUGGAUCAAAUUAUUAUGAAUUAAUUCCUGGAAAUUAGUAUUCUCAAAUUUUAUUAUGAACAAUCAGACACAUGGCAGUUUUUUAGACAAAAAUACAUCCUUUAAUUUGAAAAGUUUCCCAAAAUUAACCUGAAUAAAGACAGUGUUGAUGUCGGUAUUUUCCUGUUUUGUUUUAAUCAAAUAUUAAUUUUUCCUUACCGGAUAUCCGUUUGUCACGUGACUCAGUGCCAUGUCCACGCCUACCGAGGGUAUAAGUUACCCCCGCUGCUGAUUACUCUCAGGUGUGCAGACGUUAACUGCGUCAAACAACAACGUGUCAGCAUUUUUAUCGAAAUGCUAUAAAUUUUUAAGACAGGAGAGCGAUAUAGAAUGAGGAUAACAUAUUAUGAAUCAAAGCGCAUCGUGACUUUUGAGGUGAGUAAACCAGAAGCGAGCAGAAACACGAAGACGCUAAGUGGAGAAUGCUAAUGCUAACAGGCUAUCCGCGCUCCUGUUAAAGUCUAAUGUGCUCGUGAACAUUGUUAAGGAAAAGGAGUGAAUCUAAACAGAUUUUUUAUUAUUCAUCUCCAUAAUUUUAUUACCCCCUCACAAAUAAUGAUACAAAGAAAUAUCAGUAGAUUGUGACUUAAACUCCAGCUAACCUAAAUAAAUGUUUUUACUCAUUUUUAUUUGAGGGGAAAAAAAACUACAAGCUGAAAGUCCUGGGGACUUAACAUUGGAAACAAUAAAUAUAAAGAACUAAAAUAGUGAGUUACAAGAACAACUGCUAAAAACCUGUAAAUUAAAGAAAUACUUUAAUUUAGAUGUCUCGAAUCUAAUGAUAUUAAUUGCGGUCAAAGUCCAGAAACUUGAUUUUGAGCUCUCUCUCGUUCACCAAUUAUGCAUUAAGUUCAGUGUAUUUGCAGUGACUAUUGUACAAAAUCAUGAAAGAAUCACAUUUGACACUGGAGUUAAAAGUCCCAUAUUUCAUUGAUGUUAUUGACACAAGAAUAAUAACAGCAAACACAGUAGGAGGUUUAAUCAAUGACAGAUAUUCAUGGACUUAUAUCAGCUUUUCUGACAGAUAUUGAGCACAAAUUCAGGAAAACUUUUCAUUUUUACUGUUUCAAAAGACAUCACGGAAAAAAAAAAAAUAUUGAUCAGUGAAGUUUCCUGAGAGCUUCUCUCAGCUCUCACCACAGUCCAGUUUGACAUCCUCAGCACAGAUUUUUGUCUUUUGUGGGAAUAAAUGUUUCAAACUAAUACUCUCCCUUCUUUUCUUUCAGGACUCAUCGUCGGUGGAUCCUGGAGUUGGGGGGCCUUCUCCUCCUCCCUCCACUCGCCCUCCUCCUGUGUCUCCCUAAUGAUGUUUUAGUUUUGUUCCAGGUUGAAGUGGUAGUUAAGUAUAGAGUCAGAAUGUAUUAUUUCACCUUUUUCAAUGAGUGUUUAGAGACUUAAGUCAUGAAUAAAGUGAAGAUUUGAGACACUUAGAUUAUUUACUUAAAAGCCUUUAGGUAUCAUUAGUCUGCCGUUAAUUUAAAAUAGUUCAGAUUGAACCAUUUUCUAGUUUAACUUCUCUUCAGACCUUAGAUCUUUACUUUUGAAUGGAAAUGUUGGUGCAUUUAUGUGAUGUCUGGCAUUUCCAGGGAGGGUCUGAUAAAAAUAAAGAGACACAGAGUCACAGUGUGUUUGUGGUGUUUAUUUAUUAAUGUGUUGCCCCCCCUCUGGUGGUUGUGCUGUUGGCUCAGCUCCUUCAGGACAGAGUUUGUAGUUACAGCUCAGAUAAUAACUUUUGUUUUCGACCUUGUGAACUUUUUAAAUCCAGCUCAGGUGUCUAGAGAUAGAUCAGCGUAAAGAGUAAAUUAAAGUCCUAUUCAGUGUUCAGCAGGUUUGUUUGUAGUAAAGUUUAAAAGUUUUUACUGUGAAGUUGAAGUCUGUCAGCUUUGAGUGUUUUCUUAGUGCCAGUUUUAGACUGUUUAUUGAGCUGUCAGAGGUGCUUUAAGAUCUGUCUUCUUAGAGUUAAUGUCACUGUGACCGUGUCACUUUAUUUUAGUCAGACCCUCCCCAUCCUCCUCUCCAACCCCUUUCCUCCUGUGUCCCCCUCAGGUAGACGUUCAUCUGCUUUUAAUGUUGAGUUUUGUUUCUGGUUGAAGUAGUAAAGUUUAGAGUCUGAAUUUAUUAUUUCACCUUUUCACUGAGUGUUUAGAGUCUUUAGUCACCAUUAAAAGUGAAGAUGUGGUACACUUAAAUUAUUUACUUAAAAGCUUUUAUGUAUCAUUAGUCAGCAGUUAAUUUAAAAUACUUCAGAUUAGUUCAUGGACGGAGAGGUUGCCUGGCCUCUAAGAUAGUAAACCUUUCAUAAACAGGAUCUUCCUGCGCGUCUGCAUAGCUCAGAGGAUAAGAAGACUGACUGGGACUCCUGAGGUUGUGGGUUCAAACCCUUGAGCAUGCCUUGGUGAUUUUAAAGUCUAGGAGUUAAAGUACAAAGAUAAAAGCGGGCGUACCUCAUGCCCUAGUGUGGAUGGUAUCUAAUGGCGCUGCACGAUAGUCUACUGACACCCAACGGGUGCCGGUUUGAUCCAAGCUCGUGGCUGGAGAGUAUUAGUCAUGGUCAGAUUAUCAUCAUUAGAAGUGAUGAUUUUAUUAUUAUUUAUCAUCAUCAGAAGUGAUGAAUAGUACCUCUUAUUGCUAGAGAAGAACUCUCUAUUUAGAGAGAAGGAUUCUCUAUUAAUUAUCAUCAUCCCAUAACUUUAGACUUCCUGUCUCGAGUGGGUAUCGAACCGGGGUACCCACAUUGGGUGCCGGUUGACUACCUCACUGCGCUACCAGAUACCAUCCAUACUGGGACAUGAGCUCCGCGCGCGUUUAUCUUCGUACUUGGGCUCCUGGACUUAAAACUUCAACUCGAUUUGGAUAAGCCAUGUG
rnacentral:lncRNA from 1 species